UACGGGGGGGGCAAGCGUUGUUCGGAAUUACUGGGCGUAAAGGGCUCGUAGGCGGCCAACUAAGUCAGACGUGAAAUCCCUCGGCUUAACCGGGGAACUGCAUCUGAUACUGGAUGGCUUGAGUUCGGGAGAGGGAUGCGGAAUUCCAGGUGUAGCGGUGAAAUGCGUAGAUAUCUGGAGGAACACCGGUGGCGAAGGCGGCAUCCUGGACCGACACUGACGCUGCGGAGCGAAAGCCAGGGGAGCAAACGGG
rnacentral:rRNA from 1 species